rnacentral:misc_RNA from 1 species
AGGGCUUGACAUGCGGGGUAAAGCCGUGGAAACACGGCGCUCCUUCGGGAGCCCGCACAGGUGCUGCAUGGCUGUCGUCAGCUCGUGCCGUGAGGUGUUGCCUUAAGUGGCGCAACGAGCGCAACCCCUUUCCCAUGUUGCCAGCGGAUCAUGCCGGGGACUCAUGGGAGACUGCCGGUGCCAAACCGGAGGAAGGUGGGGAUGACGUCGUAUCUCACUG